GUAAAAAAGAUGUGCAUAUGUAAAUACUUUAUCAUAUGUGCUUGUUUAUGGAUUACAAACAUAAGUGUACAUAAUUCAUAAGUAUUCAUAAGUAUGAAUUUCUGGAAAUAUACGAGGAAAGGUAAAAGGUAGCUACAAACAGGAACUUGGAAGAUGAAAGUGAUCAGAUCAGAAAACUUCUAUUUUCUUUUACAUUAGCUUAAUAGCUUCUUUUUCUUGAAAUACAGAAUUUUAUUUAGAGACUGUUUAAUGUAGGAAAAAACCCUGUCAAGAAAGACCACGUAGAAAAUGGAUUCCCAAUAAAAUGGGAUUUUAGGGCAACAAAAUUCUAAAAGGCCACAAAAGGGAGAUUGCACCCCUGGUAACUGAACAACGGCUAGUGACUUGCAGUUUUUGCAUCGUUAAUCACCGAAUGUGGGUUUUUCCUCUGCCGUCCACACGGAGCAUGCACUACGCAACAAUUUUAUCAUAAAGUACCUGCUUUCCACACGCAUUUUAGGGCAAGCUGCCACCGGAAACAAAUCAGAGCGUCGGCCGCACAGUCUCACUAGCGGGAGACCCGUUUUGUGGAAUCCUGUGACGCGCAGGAACUGGAUAAACACGUGAGAGGCAGAGCCAACGAGGAAGAGGCAGGGAGUGACGCAUCCGAAAUUUCAAUAAUUCACUGGGAUGCGGAACCGUAUUUUCUGCAAAAGGGAAGUGACAUUUAGCAAACACGCUCCCGAAUUUUAUCUCCAAACAGAACACCUCCCUUGGCCACCCACCUGCUGGGCUCGCUCUGUAAGCAGCAAACUUCAAGGAGCCAGAGAGGGAUCCUCAGCAGGAAGGGGAGCCAGGAAACACGCUCAACCUACACGGAAAAGACAGUAACUUGGGACGCAAGCCCCACUCGAAUCCCAGAGAUGGGAGGCCAGCCCUCAAAAGUAGUUGUUAGAUUUAAAACCCAGACAUACCUCAUUACCAAACAAACCUCCCACCCCCCCCAAAAAAACAAACCUAAUACAUAGAAAUUUCAGGGAUAAUUGGGAAAAUCGGCAGAGGACUCUUCAGUGGAAUUCAAGGUCUUCAACUCAAACAUCUCAGGGCUGAAACACACCCUGUGCUCAUCCAUCCGAGAGGGACUCUUGCUUCUCAGAGCAGGGGUGUCAUCUGGCUUUUUGCUUCUCAGAGCAGGGGUGUCAUCUGGCUGUAAAGCGGAAUGGCUUGACGGUACAACCUUUGAAACUCCCCUGCGGGGUGAAGUCUAGGGCUUUAGUCUAGGGUGCAGAGUCCGCAGGCCCACAUUGCCCGUGCACAGCACGUCCCAGGGCCCAGAGGCCUAGCCCUUCCUUCCCAGGCACCAUGUCCAUCACGUACAGACACCUGUCACCAUAUGAUUUAUAUUUUGAAAUAUAGAAGCAUAUUUUAACCCCUCUUAAGGCAUUUAUUUA
rnacentral:lncRNA from 1 species